UACGUAGGGCGCAAGCGUUGUCCGGAAUUAUUGGGCGUAAAGAGCUCGUAGGCGGCUUGUCACGUCGGGUGUGAAAGCCCGGGGCUUAACCCCGGGUCUGCAUUCGAUACGGGCUAGCUAGAGUGUGGUAGGGGAGAUCGGAAUUCCUGGUGUAGCGGUGAAAUGCGCAGAUAUCAAGGAGGAACACCGGUGGCGAAGGCGGAUCUCUGGGCCAUUACUGACGCUGAGGAGCGAAAGCGUGGGGAGCGAACAGG
rnacentral:rRNA from 1 species